rnacentral:lncRNA from 1 species
UGGUUGCUAUGUUAAUAUUUUAGGCUUAAAGGACCAGAAUUAAUUCAUUCAGUCUUAUCUCUGAUGCGUUGGUUUUCUGUCAAAAAUUCCUGACAGAAUUAACAGUCAAAAUGAAGCAGGAUAAUUGGAGACGGAGCCAUGCAGCCGAUCAUGCCAUCCUUGGAAUUAUUGGGCACACCAUCAUCUCUUGCUUGGAUUCAGGAUCUUGGCAUUGCAUUCUUACAGAAAAGCCUCUUUGCAGUCAACAUCCACAGAAAAGAAAUAGAAGCAAUUGAUCUGCAAGGACCUGCCUUUGAAAUAUUGACACAUUGAGGAGCCAUAUUGGAUUGUGAAAGGAACUCAGUUGACCUGGCCUAUUGCAGAUUUAUUCUGAGAAUUUCAAUUCAGUCUUUGCUGCUGUUUGGAAAUCUUUCAUGAAUCUUUUAAUAACUUCCUUACAUACAUCUUGUUCCAUUAAAGCCCCAAAUUUGGCUUUGUCAGCUCUCUUUCUUCAUAAUCUUUAGGAUUUGUUCAUGUGUGGAUGUGAUGGAACUGAAGUCGCUAGGUUCAUGCUACCUGGAACAUGAGACUGACAAAUAGAGGAGCACUGAGUCAAAUGAAUCUCGGAGAAAUGGAGCUGGAAGAAAACUGGAGUAAGCCUGUCCCUGAAAGGGCACUACAUUUGGAUAUCCAGCAGUGGGACUCAAUAUUUUUUCUUGUUGUUUAAUCUCAUUUCUGUUACUUGCAGCCAAAGGCUCUUAAUGAGAAAAUGGCUCUACCUAGUUUUCUGAAAUUGCCUCAGUCUCUCCACUCUUCCCUAUUACAAAGGUCAUCUCUUUAAUUCACAUCCAAUAACUGAUAGUCUCUUGACUAAUCUACAUCCUCUCAUUCUCUCCUAAUUCACCUUUCAUACUGUUGCCAGGUGACUUUUCCUAAAAGACAACUUUCAUGAUGUCACUCUACUUCAUAAAUUCUUAUAAUGGUUUCUUUUUGCUUUUAGUCCAAACUCCUCAGGUUCGUUUUCAAGGCUUUUCAUAAUUGAAUUUCUUUUAUAUACCUAAGAUGAUUUCUCUGUGUUCCCAAAUGUACAAUUGACAGUCCUUCCUCCUGAUGUUCUCUCCAGUAGGAAAUGUUUGCUCUAUGUAAAUUCAGUAUAGCUUUUAGUCUCUAUUCAAGUUCUACCUUCUUCAUAAACUUCUCCUGAAUAGAAUCAGCCUAUAACCAUUUAAACUGUCUUUAUUAGGUGCACACUAUGUGCCAGGUACUCAACAAGGCAGUGGAACUAUGAAGACAGAUAAUCACAGUCCCUCUUGCCUCUGGGAGCAGGCAGUUGAAUGCAAUGCUUUUUAAAGUUUUAAGUAACGUGGUCAUGCAAAAUCUUAUAGAUAUACAUUUGAAUGUACAGAGUUUAAUUACCAAGCUAGUGAGACUUAAUGUUUCAAUUAAUAAAAAGUUUGGAAUCAAGGUAUAUAGAUAA